GUAGUUGUGGCCGAGUGGUGAAGGUGAUGGGCUAGAAAUCCAUUGGAGUUUCCCUGCGCAGUUUCGAAUUCUGCCAACUACG